GGGAGAACAACCAGGAGAAAGGAAGAACACCCAAACCCUUAUAUCAUCUAACUUGAUCAAUUGAAGGGUGAAUUGGGCAUGUAACCACUGCAUGAAUCAAAAAUCUUGAUCACCAACACUUGUCUAACACUAGGCAACACGAGUGAGGCGUCGGGAAGUCAAGCCGGUGCGGACACUCGCUUAAAAGGGAAGCUUUGAGCUUCAAGUAUGUCAAGCAAGCGGAUGAUGAUCAAUUCAAGGCUCACGAACCGAACACAUUCAAGAAUUAGUUCCGCAACUUUUAUCUUGGUUAAUCAUUAGUGAAACCUUUGUAAUAGAAGGAAUACUUAUGUAUCCUAAUAUUGUUUUUGGAAGGUUGAUAAACUCGUAUGUACUAAGUUAGGAACAAUAUUAAUGUUUUG